rnacentral:tRNA from 1 species
GUCCCUGUAGCGCAAUGAAUAGCGCGUUGGACUUCUAAUCCAAAGGUCGUGAGUUCGAAUCCUACCAGGGAUG